rnacentral:lncRNA from 1 species
UUCACCUCAUCGUGUUAGGCAAUAUUUCAUUUUCAAGCAUAAAUAAAGAAUUUUUAGAGUCAGAUGAUUGAGACGGUAAAUGAAUUUUGUUUAUUCCUACUAUGAUUAAAUUUUUUUUCUUUAAUUGUUCCACUAGAAUAUUUCUCUAUGCAUAUAUAGCGGAAGUUUUAGUGCACCGAGCUGCCUUUUUUUUUAUAUAUAUAAUUAAUAAUCUAAA